rnacentral:misc_RNA from 1 species
GAUGAAGAACGUAGCGAAAUGCGAUAAGUAAUGUGAAUUGCAGAAUUCAGUGAAUCAUCGAAUCUUUGAACGCACAUUGCGCCCCUUGGUAUUCCGUGGGGCAUGCCUGUUCGAGCGUCAUUAUAACCCCUCAAGCUCAGCUUGGUGUUGGGGCCUGCUGCACUGGCAGCCCUUAAAAUCAGUGGCGGCGCCAUCUGGCUCUAAGCGUAGUAAUUCUUCUCGCUAUGGAGUCCUGGUGGAUGCUUGCCAUCAACCCCCAAUUUUUCUAUGGUUGACCUCGGAUCAGGUAGGGAUACCCGCUGAACUUAAGCAUAUCAAUAAGCGGAGGA